rnacentral:misc_RNA from 1 species
CAUCGGCUUCAGGAACA